rnacentral:rRNA from 1 species
GACGAACGCUGGCGGCGUGCUUAACACAUGCAAGUCGAGCGAUGAAAUCCCUUCGGGGAUGGAUUAGCGGCGGACGGGUGAGUAACACGUAGGUAACCUGCCUCAUAGAGGGGAAUAGCCUUCCGAAAGGAAGAUUAAUACCGCAUAAGAUUGUAGCUUCGCAUGAAGCAGCAAUUAAAGGAGUAAUCCGCUAUGAGAUGGACCCGCGUCGCAUUAGCUAGUUGGUGAGGUAACGGCUCACCAAGGCGACGAUGCGUAGCCGACCUGAGAGGGUGAUCGGCCACAUUGGGACUGAGACACGGCCCAGACUCCUACGGGAGGCAGCAGUGGGGAAUAUUGCACAAUGGGGGAAACCCUGAUGCAGCAACGCCGCGUGAGUGAUGACGGUCUUCGGAUUGUAAAGCCCUGUCUUCAGGGACGAUAAUGACGGUACCUGAGGAGGAAGCCACGGCUAACUACGUGCCAGCAGCCGCAGUAA